rnacentral:sRNA from 1 species
GUAUCUAGUGCUAGAGACUGAAACCUUCUCUAUAGUCCUAGAUCAGGUACAGCAGAGACAGCAGAUGCACAAGCUCACCCCAUGCUCCAUCAAUCUGCCACAGCCCUAUCCUGAAGGGACCCUCUAUAGGAGAAAGAGUAGAGUGCAUACUCAAUAAUCCAUUUAGUCCUAGGCCACU